CGGCCGCACGGAGCGGGAUAUAAGGGCAACAAGUAGAUCAUUUCACUCAGAGGCGGAGCCGUACUAACACUCUCGCAAAGUCGUAAUUCGAUAAAUAGUUUCACACUUCUAAUUAGGGACUCAAAAUUCCUGCAGAGAUCCCAACAACAUGAAGUUUGAUGAAGCAGAAUAUUCGCCUUCCACAGAGGAGCCUUAUAGCUCCAUGGACUCACUCGCCACCACUAGAAAGAAGAAGAACAAGAAUAAGAGGAGGUUCAGUGAUGAACAGAUUAAAUCAUUGGAGUCCAUGUUUGAAAAUGAAUCAAGGCUUGAGCCUCGAAAGAAACUGCAGCUUGCUAAAGAACUUGGUUUGCAGCCGCGACAGGUUGCAAUAUGGUUUCAGAAUAAGA
rnacentral:misc_RNA from 1 species